CAAACCCUCAGCGCAAGCUGGUAUUGAGCAGGUUGACCGUUAAAAAAGUCAACCGGCUUUAAAUUUGUAAGCUCUGCUGGCUGCUACGCCUAACUAAAAACAUAGUAAACUUUUGCUUGUUUGACGGUGAGGCUUGUGGACCGGCCUGAACAAAAUCUACAACUCAG
rnacentral:misc_RNA from 1 species